GUUCAACAGGGGCGCGCAGUGGAAGACAAAGAUCACGAUGACGUUGCCGGUGAUGAUCAGCGCCGUGAGGAAGACGAUGAUGAGCACUUCCAAGAGGCAAAAAUUGACCGUCUCCAAGUAGCCAAAGCCGCAUCAAAGAACCUGUCUAGCUCAGGCUGGCAGUAGUAGCCUUCCCGGUCCAUCCCACCCUGCCCUGGGCCAGCAUCCGCGGCGGCGACCCCGCGGCACUGGCCCUGGCUCUACACGGGAGGCACGGCAACCGCAUCGCGCGCUCGUGGGCGACGGAAAACAAAACCCAUUGUAGCCGUAUCCAUCCAUCCCUGCUGCUUUCACCGGAGCGUUCUUGGGGAGAAAGAGAGGCUGCUGCUAGCAUUUAUAGCAUUUCUGAAACAUUUCUAAUGAUCGCUAUUAAAAAAAAAUACAUCAACAUUUUUUUUUUAACUAACUUAGGCUAAUGUUUUUUCCUCCUUAAAAACAUCUUGAAAGAACUGCUCUAUCUAGCUCAAUUUCGGAGGGUUACCUGUCGUUCUGCAGGCUGGAAUCCAAACAAAAGCCACAAGACAUCCUCGACAGAAAGCCUUGCGAUGCAGGAAUGUGCCUCAGCCAGUUUACUGCAGAACCAAGACACAGAGGGAGGAGAUAAAGGAGUAGGAGGGGAAACCGGGGAGAAGAGGGGGCUUGGGAAAAGGAAGAAGGGGGAGGGGAGAGAAAGCGCCUUUGCCUGCACACACGCCACACGCAUACACGGGCAUCUGAAGCAGUUCGUUAGAAGGCACCUCCGGAGAAGUGCACCCUCACUGGGGAUAACUGUCACACAUCGCCUGUAGUCCAGUGGUUCAAAGAUGUUUUCUCAUCUGUCUGGAAUCUCCCUUUCGGUAAACAAGCAGAAUUUAAGCUGCUAUUCUGGAGAAGGGAUAGUGAGCCCGGCACUGUGGCAGGCAGGAACUGGACUGAAACACAACGGCCAGAAUAACAAAAAGGAGACAUUUCCACGUUCUCACAGCCUUUCCCCAAGGAACAAAGAACAACAUUAAAGCAUGCAAGUGUAUUGCUGCUUCACGGCAACAAAAUAACCCUAAUUCACCUGCACGAGGAUAGCUAAGGUUCAAUAUUCAAGCACUGGUAUUCUCUUAGCAUUCACUGGAUUUCGACUGAUACUUAGAUAACCAAAACCAAUAUCAAAACCAAAACAAAACGCAAGCAAACUGAGAAAUGUUUUGAAUGAAGAAAACCUCGCAUAUGCAGAAUACUGCAGAAAUAUGACAUGCUGCAGAAAGAGAACACAGAAGGACAUUGUGUGGAAUUGCAAUGCUCUG